CUUCGGGGUCAGCGGCAGACGGGUGAGUAACGCGUGGGAACGUGCCCUUCGGUUCGGAAUAACUCAGGGAAACUUGAGCUAAUACCGGAUACGCCCUUUUGGGGAAAGGCUUGCUGCCGAAGGAUCGGCCCGCGUCUGAUUAGCUAGUUGGUGAGGUUACGGCUCACCAAGGCGACGAUCAGUAGCUGGUCUGAGAGGAUGAUCAGCCACACUGGGACUGAGACACGGCCCAGACUCCUACGGGAGGCAGCCGUGGGGAAUAUUGGACAAUGGGGGCAACCCUGAUCCAGCCAUGCCGCGUGAGUGAUGACGGCCUUAGGGUUGUAAAGCUCUUUUCUCCGGGACGAUAAUGACGGUACCGGAGGAAUAAGCCCCGGCUAACUUCGUGCCAGCAGCCGCGGUAAUACGAAGGGGGCUAGCGUUGCUCGGAAUCACUGGGCGUAAAGGGCGCGUAGGCGGCUGAUUUAGUCGAGGGUGAAAGCCUGUGGCUCAACCACAGAAUUGCCUUCGAUACUGGUUGGCUUGAGACCGGAAGAGGACAGCGGAACUGCGAGUGUAGAGGUGAAAUUCGUAGAUAUUCGCAAGAACACCAGUGGCGAAGGCGGCUGUCUGGUCCGGUUCUGACGCUGAGGCGCGAAAGCGUGGGGGGCAAACAGGAUUAGAUACCCUGGUAGUCCACGCUGUAAACGAUGAAUGCUAGCCGUUGGUCUGCAUGCAGGUCAGUGGCGCCGCU
rnacentral:rRNA from 1 species